CUACGGGGCGCAGCAGUGGGGAAUAUUGCACAAUGGGGGAAACCCUGAUGCAGCAACGCCGCGUGAAGGAUGACGCAUUUCGGUGUGUAAACUCCUUUUAUAUAGGAAGAUAAUGACGGUACUAUAUGAAUAAGCACCGGCUAACUCCGUGCCAGCAGCCGCGGUAAUACGGAGGGUGCAAGCGUUACUCGGAAUCACUGGGCGUAAAGCGCGCGCAGGCGGCCUUUUAAGUUGGAUGUGAAAGCCUAUGGCUUAACCAUAGAACUGCAUCCAAAACUAUCAGGCUAGAGUCUGGGGAGGGGAAGAUGGAAUUAGUUGUGUAGGGGUAAAAUCCGUAGAGAUAACUAGGAAUACCAAAAGCGAAGGCGAUCUUCUGGAACAGUACUGACGCUGAGGCGCGAAAGCGUGGGGAGCAAACAGGAUUAGAUACCCCUGUAGUC
rnacentral:rRNA from 1 species